UUAAAGACCAUUGAAAUUACAUUAAAUGCAAAACAAAAAACACACUUUUGAUCAUAUUUAACAUAUUCAUGGUCAAAAUGACUUGUAUUGGGUAACUAGUUUAGAAAAUUAAUUUGACAAUAGAUUAAAAAACAAAUAAACAACUGUGUAUUGUCAGUAUCGAUUUUUUUGGACAGAGUAAAACUUUUAAAAAAAAAAUAUAAUGGACAUUUGAUUUUGUUGGUUUUUCAAAGUAUGUAUAUCGAUAGAAAUUUAAAAUGAACAUUUAUAUUUGUGGUCAUCUGUUACCAUAAAACACACAAAAAUCUGGUAUCCAACUAUAUAAAAAUAUAUCUUAACCUUCUUGUAUGUUAACUAUGUUACAAAGUAGCUUAUUCUCAAAUAGAAGUAGCAAACAUUAAUAUAGAAAUGGUUAUUAAUUUUCCUAAAGCCAUUUAGUAAUUGUCAAUGCAAAAAUACAAAAGAUUGGUAAACUUUUUGUAAGGGUUUCAAGAAAAAAGUGCAAGUUGACCUACAUAUCUGUAUUAAGGUGGUACCUAACACUACAAGGAGAUAACUCUUUAAAAUCAGCUAAACGUUUUAAUUACGUUGUAUUGUUAAGGAAAUAUUAAGCUUCAAAUUGAUUAAAUUGAGUGU
rnacentral:lncRNA from 1 species